GAAACGGGUGAUGCAUGCUGGGAUAGCUCAGGCCAGAAGCUAGGAGAGGGUAAUAAUCACAUCUAAUGUGGUGAUAAAUGGGCCAAAACGUUUUUAAUCAAAGUCAAUUUAUCAUCAUUAGUCGGGAUUAAGCCGUUGUGGAUGAAAUCUUGCUGCCGAGGACACGGAAAGGCUUUAUUUAAGUUUCAUUCUCGACUAUUUGGUAGGAAGUGGUCGUGUCAUUAUUCUCUCUGGUCCCGUAAGCAGCUUGUUCUUCCGCCUCCAGCCGUCUGUAGCGGGUCUGGAAGAAGACGAGGAAGCAGCAGGUGAAAACACUGGACAGUCCUGCCAUCACCAUUAUGGGCACUGAGGAGAGAAGAAGCAAACAUCUCAUGAAAAAAAUAAAACAAAAAAAAAGGAUUAGAACUGUGUCUCCGCAGGUGGAGAAUGGAGAUUCAGUGAUCGGUUUGGUCAAAGCCUGCAGCAGGAGGAUGUAAAUGACCGACUGCACCUGCCUGCAAGACGGAAACAGAAAUCACUUUCACCUCAAUACGAAACUCACAGACGCUAAUCAACGUUCAUUUCAUUAAAACAAAAUAAAACACAAUAAAGAUGUAUAAUUUA